rnacentral:rRNA from 1 species
GCUUGUCAUCUUUAUCAUUUCUCCAAAACUGUGCACCUCUUGUAGACCUGGAGCUGGAUUUCAUUCGAAUUGGGAACUGCUGUGCUUUCACAAGUCAGCUUUGCCUUGCAAUAUUUCCAUGGUCUAUGUUCACACAAAACCUGUUUAGAAUGGUUGGACUAAAUAUUAUAAAAGUUAUACAACUUUCAGCAACGGAUCUCUUGGCUCUCGCAUCGAUGAAGAACGCAGCGAAAUGCGAUAAGUAAUGUGAAUUGCAGAAUUCAGUGAAUCAUCGAAUCUUUGAACGCAUCUUGCGCUCCUUGGUAUUCCGAGGAGCAUGCCUGUUUGAGUGUCAUUUUAACUUCUCAACCAUAUCGAAUUGUUUUUCGAGGUGGCUUGGACAUGGGGGUUUUUGCAGGCUUUAAUAAUGAAGUCGGCUCCUCUGAAAUGCAUUAGUGGUAUCUGAAGCAGAACUGCUACUAUUAGGUAUGAUAAUUAUCUAUGCCUCUUGGUAUACUGCAUGAACAGAUUGCGCUGCUUCCAACUUGUACACCCUUUGGUGUUGACAAAUUUGACCUCAAAUCAGGUAGGA